GGCCGGGUGGCCUAAUGGUAAGGCAUUAGUUUCCGGUACUAGGGAUUGCGUGUUCGAGUCACGCCUCGGUCG